GUUUAAGUGAUACACAGGUAUCCCCCUUAUAUGUUUAAGUGAUACACAGGUAUCCCCCCUUAUAUGUUAAGUGAUACACAGGUAUCCCCCCUUAUAUGUUAAGUGAUACACAGGUAUCUACCCACUUUAUGUUCAUUGAUAUCCUUGGAUAGUUUAGUUCCUAUUUUGUCAUCUCACCUAUACAAACUUGACUCAAUGCCUUAUGGUAAAUGUUGGAUGAAGAAAAAACACCGG
rnacentral:lncRNA from 1 species